UACAGAGGGGGCAAGCGUUGUUCGGAAUUACUGGGCGUAAAGGGCGCGUAGGCGGCCUUCUAAGUCAGACGUGAAAUCCCUCGGCUCAACCGGGGAACUGCGUCUGAGACUGGAAGGCUUGAAUCCGGGAGAGGGAUGUGGAAUUCCAGGUGUAGCGGUGAAAUGCGUAGAUAUCUGGAGGAACACCGGUGGCGAAGGCGGCAUCCUGGACCGGUAUUGACGCUGAGGCGCGGAAAGCCAGGGGAGCAAAGCGGGG
rnacentral:rRNA from 1 species